UGAGUUAGAUUCCUGGUACCUAAUAAAAAAAACAACCCACAGAAAUGGGAUUGGAGGUUUGUUAAGGUUUCCUGCAGGUCCAAUGCCCCCACUAUAACCAAUCAGGCCACUUCUUGCUGAACUUGGGCAUAGACCUGGGUUGACUGAAACCGUUUGGCCCUGAUUUAGACAUGCCUAUGCCUUUCUGGCCAGAGACCUAGGACUAGUGAUCUGGAACUGAGAGGUCAUUCUUGUUGUUGGACAAAUAGGACAUGGGAAGGGGCAGAACUAAGUCCUGGACAAUGGUUGAAGCAUGUGAGUAUCAUCCUAAGAAAGAGGCACCAUAAGUCUGAACGUGAAAGCAUCUGUAUGAACUCUGAAGCAGAAGCAAGAGGCCAUGAAAGCCAGAAGGAACCCAACUAACCAGUCCAUACAGGGAUCCUCUCUUUCCAUGGGCACGGACCACUCUAAAAGAAUAUUCAGAUGUAGUGAGUAGCCACUCUUUUGUCUUUACCAACAUGGAGGGCCCUCGUCAGCAUUAAGAACACUCACCUUCUGUGCUGAGGUACCUGGCAGGAGGCCUCUGCUUCCAUUGUCUUUCUGAGUUCCCAUGAAGAACAGUCUCCGCUGUCCUUGGGCCAUAAAACUGCUCCUGUCUGUGAGCAUCUCCAGGUCUGUUAGACCAGCACAGGUGGAAUAAACUUGUUCAGUCACUGCACAUGACCACAGACAGGUUCUUUAGCAUGAUGAGAAGCAAAGUGGCUGUGUUUAAGGCUACACUGCUACACUAGACAUCAGAAUUGUCUGGCAAUACCAGAUAAUACUGCAUAGUCUCCCAGAGAUGAGAUAAUGCUCCUCCAUUUGCUUCAAUAAGAGGGACGGACACACAGUGAAGACUGCGGACAGGGUGGACUGGCCUAAAAUAAACUUCUCUGCCUGUUAUAGCAACUCACAAAGUAUUACCACCCUCGGGCACUCGGGCACAUGGGCAUCCCUGCAUCAUUGAUCCACAGGAUCAAGGGCUUUCCAAUUUCUUGGAGACCCAGAGCAGGAGCAGCAAGCAACUCUUCCUCGAUGACCAGGAAGGCCUGAUGGCAGGCAUGAUCCAACCAUGUGCUGUGUUCUCCUUGAAGAGCUGCACAGGGAGGAUGGUUAUUAGUGCAAAGUUGGGGAUUCUUUUUUUUCCAUUAAGUU
rnacentral:lncRNA from 1 species